UACGUAGGAGGCGAGCGUUGUCCGGAGUUACUGGGCGUAAAGGGUGCGCAGGCGGCCGCUUAAGUGUGCAGUGAAAUCUCCUGGCUUACCUGGGAGGGGGCUGCGCAAACUGGGGGGCUUGAGGCUCGGGGAGGGGCGUGGAAUUCCGGGUGGAGCGGUGAAAUGCGUAGAGAUCCGGAGGAACACCGACGGCGUAAGCAGCGCCCUAAACGAGACAAUCUCGAAAGAGACCUGACGCUCAGGCA
rnacentral:rRNA from 1 species